rnacentral:rRNA from 1 species
GACGAACGCUGGCGGCGUGCUUAACACAUGCUAGUCGAACGGAAAGGCCCUGCUUUUGUGGGUUUCUCGAGUGGCGAACGGGUGAGUAACACGUGUGUAACCUGCCCUUGACUUUGGGAUAACUUCAGGAAACUGGGGCUAAUACCGGAUAUGAGCUCCUGCUGCAUGUUGGGGGUUGGAAAGUUUCGGCGGUUGUGGAUGGACUCGCGGCUUAUCCGCUUGUUGGUGUGGUAGUGGCUUACCAAGGCUUUGACGGGUAGCCGGCCUGAGAGGGGGACCGGCGACAAGGGGACUGAGAUACGGACUAGAAGCGUACGGGAGGCAGCAGUGGGGAAUAUUGCACAAUGGGCGGAAGCCUGAUGCAGAAACGCCGCGUGCGGGAUGACGGCCUUCGGGUUGUAAACAGCUUUCGAAUGUGACGAAGCGAGAGUGACGGUAAUGGGUAAAGAAGCACCGGCUAACUACGUG